rnacentral:misc_RNA from 1 species
AAGUCGUAACAAGGUUUUCGUAGGUGAACCUGCGGAAGGAUCAUUAGAGAGCGAGCAUGGCGCAGGCCGUGCUUACAAGUGUGAGCGGAGAGUCGUGGGCGCAGCCCAUAUGGCGUUGCAAGCAGGGACAAUAUGACAAGUACAACUUUCAGCGAUGGAUCUCUUGGCUCUCA